CCUACGGGCGGCACCAGUGGGGAAUAUUGCACAAUGGGUGCAAGCCUGAUGCAGCCAUGCCGCGUGUAUGAAGAAGGCCUUCGGGUUGUAAAGUACUUUCAGCGAGGAGGAAGGCGUUAAGGUUAAUAACCUUGGCGAUUGACGUUACCCGCAGAAGAAGCACAGGCUAACUCCGUGCCAGCAGCCGCGGUAAUACGGAGGGUGCAAGCGUUAAUCGGAAUUACUGGGCGUAAAGCGCACGCAGGCGGUCUGUCAAGUCGGAUGUGAAAUCCCCGGGCUCAACCUGGGAACUGCAUUCGAAACUGGCAGGCUAGAGUCUUGUAGAAGGGGGUAGAAUUCCAGGUGUAGCGGUGAAAUGCGUAGAGAUCUGGAGGAAUACCGGUGGCGAAGGCGGCCCCCUGGACAAAGACUGACGCUCAGGUGCGAAAGCGUGGGGAGCAAACAGGAUUAGAUACCCCAGUAGUC
rnacentral:rRNA from 1 species